UGACUCACUGUUUCUAAGUCACACCAUACGUAGGUUUAUUUAGUCCAGUGUUGCCCAUAACAGAAGACAAGAAACCUGUCUCCCUCCCAAUGUUUUUGGACUCCACCUGCUUUCUUCCCCAGACAUGAUCAGGAACAAUUGUAGUUGUAGUCCAAAAUCAUCUGAAAGAUUUUCCAGCCCUGCUUUGCAUUUACUGGUAUCUGCUUUUGUUUCGGGCAGGGCUGUUUCCCAGGCCUGCUUCGAGAUGCUGCAGAUUGACCCUGGGACCUCCUGUGCUGCACGCAAACCCUGUGAGCUACAAUACCCUCCACUAAAAACGAUAGCCUUUCGCCAUUAGAGCCCUGUGCAGUAGGUUAGGUCAGGAGAAAGACUGAGAAACUGGCCCUGUGAGUUUCAUGGGAGAGUGGAGGACUGCAAGGGGGCCUCAUGACCCACAGUCAGAGACCCAUCUCUUCUCGUCGCUCCAACAGGUGGUGCUGCCGUGUAUGCUGGACCUGCUGCCGGUUCUGGAGAAGGCCCCCCAGAGGCUGUCCCACACUCCGACACGUGUGUCCCCAUCUGAUGAGGUACUCCAGCUGAUCCUGACCCACAUGGAAGUGGAGCACCGACUCUCCUUGCGGAGAGUCUAUGCCAGGAACCUGCCUGCCUUUGUAGAGAGGCAUGGCAUCCGGAUCACCCGUCACCUGAAGAAGCUGCAGCAGGUGAUUGUGGGAUACCUGGAGGUUCCUGAUGGACCCGAGGAAGCUGCUAGAUUGGCAGUGUUAGACACUCUGAAGCGCACCAUACAGCACGCAUGGCCCAGGAUGGCCUGCCGUCUCCCUGAGCUCCUUAAGGCUUUGCUGAGAAUGAUGUGGGAUGUGGCUACAGACAGGAGCGCCACCCCUGAGCCAGUGAAGGCAGAGCUGCUCCAAGGAGCCACCGAGUGCCUCCUUUUGCUGGACCAUGCUUCCCACGGACAAGUCAAGGUCCUACUGCAAGGAGUCCACCACAGUUGUCCAGAUGAGCACCUCAAGGAAUACCUGUGGAAAGUACAAGAGGACUCUGCAAAACAGUCUUCCCCAGAGCUCGAGAGAGAAGUUGAAUAAAGACUGUAUUCAAAGAAAGGCCAACAAACGAACAAAGAAAAUCCUGCAGAAAAAGCCAUCCGCAGAAGCACCGUGACUUACUGUCUCUUGAGGGUCAGCUUGCGGAUUCGGAUCAGGUACUGUGUGAUCUUGGUGAAGCGCUGCUUGCAUUUGUGCCGGAUGAAGCGGGGCCAGUAGAUCAGGUUCUCAUCGAUCUCCUCCAGCGCCUUCUCAUAGUUCUUGCUCAGCCGGACCUGCCAGAAAUGGGAAGGCAAGACGUCUGCAACAGCGCUGAGGAGGACUGUCAAAGUCCCAGCUCAAGGAGCAGACCAAGGCUUCUGAUGGGUCUCUUGAAGCCACAAGAAGAGAUGCCACAGUUAUUAAACACUGAGCUUAUGUGCUGUGCAUGACACUAUUGCCCAUAUUUCACUGGCAUAGAUCACUGUUAGUACCACAAUUGUCUUAUAAAGCUGGAACUUGGUUUUCUUAUCAAUUGCUGGAACUGACCAAAUAGUCAUAAGCCCUGGAAUACUGCUGAGGCUUUACCGAUUCUGUGUUUGACAUCUGCAUCUAUGCUGCCAUCUUGUGAUAAGAUGCUAAAACUACUUAAUGGCUGUAAAGGAUAUAUUUACUUGCAAUUAAGCCCACCAGAUUUAACAGGACUUAUUUCUGAGUAGAAUACAUAGGAUUGCACUGACAAUUUUCUAUUUUAGCUUGAGUUGCAGCCUUCCUGAUUAAGGCACUGCUGCCCACAGGCUAAUUAUUUUUAAGUUACUUGCUUUUAAAGAUCUUCCGGCAAGAUUUUCAAAUAGUAAUAUUAAUUCAGUGGGAGGGGGAACAGGUCAAAUUAAUGUGUUUUAAACACACAUCUCUUGAAAGCCGAGUGCACAUAGUGUUUAGAGUUUUGGACUCAGAAUAUACUAUGUCAACUGUAUUGGGAGCAUUAUGCUAAUCACAUGAUAUAUAAAUGCUUUAAAUGAACAAAUGUCCAAGUUCUAGUUGCCAUACAGCCAUGAAGAGAUUUAGAGCCAAUCAUUGACUCUCAGCCUACUUCACAGGCCUGUUGUGAAAAUUAAAUUAAGCCACCCUAGGAAAAACGGCAAGGUAUCGGCAUACAUCAAACAGGCGCUCAAAUAUGAAAACUAAUUCAGAUUGUGCACUGCCAAAUAAGCAAAGGCAGAGAAGGUAAAGAAUCAGAUCCACUCUUACAUUGGCACCCUGUGUCCAUAUCCUUUAAAUUCUCAUCACCCUCUGCCAUAAUCCGGAGCAGCAACAACCAGCACCAAAUGGCAAAUAAAAUCGGAACACAACAUACACAAAAACGCAUUCACACUACCCUAACACGUCUGGAAGGGAGCUUACCCGUUCCCACAGCCGGUUGGGGAAGGCAGAACGUUCAAUGGUCUUCAUGUAAAGGUAGCACUGGCCUGAAAGAGAAGCAGCACGGAAUUGGGUAGGAGUCAUUGCCGGGUCUGCAGCAGCCAGAUUCUGCAAAGGCGACAGACCAGUGUUCAGAAAGAACUAGAGCACCACCUUCCCAGCUGAAUGGAAGCUGUUCCUAUCACACACUGGUUUUAUACUGCCUUUUAUACUGAAUUUCAGGUGUGUCUUAUGUAAGCCAUUCAGAUGCCUUACACUAUCAAGCAGUAUGUAAGAAGCUUUAAUAAGAGGUAUAAACAGCACCUUCAUUGCAAGACCUUCACCUUUGAUUUUAACUUGGGCUGUUUUUUGACCCUCGGCUACAGGGGGGCUGUACCUCUUUCACUUCACAGGGCAAUUUCAGGGGCUACCUUCCAGAACAUAGGAUGUGGUCAGAACUUAAAACACCGAUAUUCAAGCAGUACAUGCCUAAAUGGCCACAUAUUUUCCAUCACUCCAAAUAGAUGCAUCAACACUGGAUCUGAUGCUAAGGAGUCUGGCCAAGACCCUUACCUUUCUCUUCCUUGAUGGUAGCAUACUGGCUGUUUGCCAAGGGGCAGGAGGACCGGUUGCAAAGGCCCGUGACGUUAAAUUCAUUCCGGCAAAAGCUCUGUGUUUUUGUUCUGCAAAGAAGAGAUCCAAAAUGACCCAUUCAGUACCUUUGACAUAGAGAACUUGAUUCAUUCUAAUCCAUUCAUUCUAAGUUCUGACUAUGGAAACCAUAGGAAUGCCUCUGGAAGAAUUCAGCUGAAGCCACAAAGGAGCAAGAUUGUACACAGGCUUGCCCUAAACUCACAAGCCUUGAGAACAUUUUCAUAAGGGUUCAGAUGACAGUGAGAUACCCAAGUUUUUUGUGAUGUGUGACUCCUGCAUUCUGUUAGGCCCACAUCCUAAGAAAUUAUACCCUAAGACGAUGAAUACAAAAUAAAUGACCUGACAAAGGGCUGAUUCAAACCUCCAGCUACUGAUGUGGCACAUUUGUCUUAAAUGUAUAUAUUUAUGAUUUUUAGCCCAGGGGGCAAGGAAAUUCACCUGCCUCAAAAUCUUGCAUUGGAGUUGCCACUGAGAGAACUGUACCUCAAGUGACGUCCCUGUUUAAAAGCGGGCUCAGAAAACAACUGAACUGCCCGAAAGUCAAGAACAAGCAGGCCUGUUUGCUUAUUUUUAUUUCAGUUGCAUUAAUUGCACCUUCAGAAAAUACCCUUGCUUAAAACGGUAUCUGAACGCACACGGUAGGCAUGUCAUGAGUGGAGCCGGCUGGAGCCAGAGGUCAGACUAGAUGGCCCGGGAGACCCCUUCUGACUCUCUCUGUUUCUAUGAAUGUAAUAAAACAAACACAAGUAUGCACUCAAAAUACAUGGUGCUAAAUCCCCACCUCUCUAUUAAAUGCACUGGAUUAGAACCAGAAAAGGUUGCAAUCUGAUGUGAAUUCACCUAGGAGAACAGGCUGUAGGACAUCUGAAUUGACUUGCAUAAGACAGCACUGAGUUAGCUCAGCUGAGUUCUCACUGAAAUCACUGGAAACAAAGUCACAACAAACUUGUCCCCAUCAUUACAAUGGCUAUAAAUUCAACUAACUUAGACUACAAUCCUAUGUGAAAUUACCUCAGAGUUAAGUCCCACUGAAUUAAAAGAGGCUUAUUUCUAAGUCAUCAUGUGCAGGACUCUGCUGUCUGGAUCCAGACCACUGAAUUAAAGUUUGAUUUGUCCAUGUAAAAGAACCAACUGGAGCAAAACGUGUGUCUCCUGAGGUCAGCCAUGAUAAAUACCUUAACCACGAACCGUUUCCAGAAGAUAGAAAAUGCUCCAAUUUGUUGCAAACAGAUUUGUUUUGAUUGCUUUAAAACAAUGCUUCCUCCUGGAAGCUGAAAACUCAUGUAAUCAUGUUCCAAUGAGGCCCUUUUGCCUGGGGCUCUGAAUCUAGCACUACUACAAUCAUUGAUUUGGCAAAUCCUUCAAUUCAGUACAGAGAGACUGAGACCAGGGGGGAGCAUGAA